CUGAAAACACCCGGUGAAACCUGGCCCGGCACAGUGACACCCUGCCCUGCGGUGACACACAGGAUAGUGACAGGCAAAUCUGUUUCAGCCUGCAGCUCUAUCUGCCGAGGACUCGCAAUAAUUUCUGUUAUCUGUCAUUUUUCUGUGCCACCUAGCUUACUUGGCUGUGUUGUUGGAAUCUCUGAGCGGAGACUGAAUGAAAGCAGUGUUUGUUUGCUGUGAUUGGAUCAGCUGUGAUUGGAUCAGUUACUCAGGGAGCCGAGCUAUGCGAAGGGCCCGAAACCCACUCCACCCUGAGUCAGAGGUGGAGCAUCCCUGGAGACCUGUUCUCAUGACUCACCAGCUGCUAUCUGCAAACAGCCUCUGGGGGAAAUGCCAAACAAUUCACCGAUGGAUUCUCAACAAGGUCAAGAAUGAAAGGAACAUAGGUGCCCACUGUUAGAGAAACCUGGAAGAAGCCUCAGGAUCAAGUCAUGAACUUGGUUUUUGGUGGCUCAGAGGUUAAAGCCUCAGCAUAAAAUGCGGGAGACCUGGGUUCAAUCCCUGGGUCAGGAAGAUCCCCUGGAGAAGAAAAUGGCAACCCACUCCAGUAUUCUUGCCUGGAGAAUCCUAUGGACGGAGGAGCCUGGUGAGCUACAGUCCACGGGGUCGCAAAGAGUUGGACACGACUGAGUGACUUCACUUCACUUGACUUAGGUUUUACAUAUUUUACUUUUUAUGCUACAUAUUUUAGAUUUUAAUAUUUAUAUAUAUGUGCAUAAAUAUUUAUAUGCUUAUUUUUAUGUUACAUCUAAGCAUAAAUAUUUAUAUGCCUAUAUCUGUGACUAUCUGGAUUAAAAAAUAAGAAUCACCUACUGUGUUUAUAUUUGCUCAUCUAGGGCUUUUAUGCAUCCCAGAUAUAAUAAAUGUUUAUUGAGCAUAUACUGUAUCACAUCACUCCUCUAGAUUUUGGGGAUCUUUCAGUGAAAAUUUAGACCAAAGUUCUUCCCUCAUGAAUUUUAUUUUCUGUUAGUUGCAGCAUUCUUGGCUUACGAUUUAGGGUAAAGAGAGUACAUUUGUGGUUUUAUACAGUAUCAAAAAUAUUAUUGUAUAGGAAGAAGAAAUAAUUGAGACUAUUUUUCCUGAGUUCUUGCUUCAUCUGUUCUUGUAUAAAUUACUAAGUGUAAGAUAUUGUAUCCUGAUCAACUCCAUUUUAGUACAUUAUAGAAGUGCAAUCUUUAUUAAGAAGUACCUGAUGGCAUUUUGUAUUCUUGUUUUAGAUUUUUUUUUCAAAUUAUGUAAUUUUUUAUUAUGACAAUUGACAUAUAUUAAGUGAAAGAAAUAACAGAAGUAUUAUAAUAAAACAUUUUGAAAGAAAAAAGUUACACAAUUAGGCCAGUAGCCAUAAAAUAGCUUUUAGGCCUAUCUUAUAACACCAAGAGUUCUGAUCAGACUGUAGUGAGACAUUGAACAUUUCAUUAACAAAAAUAUUGGCACGAGCCGCAACAUAUUUUGGUUGUCACUUACAAGGAAUAUUGUAUUCAAACAACUAUGCACUGCGAUUCUGACUCACUAGGUGUUCAUACACUGCAGUUAACCCCUGAAGCUUUAAGCUACCAGGAAUUCCCGUAUUUUCUACGCACAAAAUUUACUUUGUGCGUUAUUGGAAUCACACUUCCAGUUUUCAUGUCUUUCCC
ensembl:lncRNA